rnacentral:lncRNA from 1 species
AGGCGCAAAGGCUGGCGUUCGAGGUUCGUUUACGCGCCGCUUCGCCGUGCAGGUGGUGGCGAAGCGCUCCUCCGAAAGGUUUCGGAAGCUGGUGGUAGCUCUGAAGAUAACGCUGCGUUAGGGCAUACUGCGGCGGAGGAUGGAACUCCGAUUGAAAGCAGUUGCUGGAGUGGAGCACGAAUUUCAACAAGCCGCAUGUUGAAGUGUGAGGCGUGAAAGGGUAUGUCUGAUAUUUGCUUUAAAAUGCUCCAGCAAAGAAAUUAAGGGAUGGAUGAAGCAAAAGAGCCAGGUAUGGUGGCUCAUGCCUCUAAUCUCAGCACUUUGG